rnacentral:rRNA from 1 species
CAGGCCUAACACUGCAAGUCGAACGAGAAAUUCCGCUUCGGCGGAAGAGUAAAGUGGCGCAGGGUGAGUAGCGCGUGGGUAAUUUACCCCUGAGACCGGGAUAACCUUGCAAAGCGGGGCUAAUACCGGAUAAGAUCACAAUCCGUUCGCGGGUAGCGAAAAAGGUGGCCUCUACACGUAAGCUAUCACUCAGGGAUAAGCCCGCGUACAUUAGCUUGUUGGUGGGGUAAUGGCCUACCAAGGCGACGAUGGUUAGCGGUCUGAGAGGAUGAUCAGCCACACUGGAACUGAGACACGGUCCAGACUCUACGGGAGGCAGCAGUGGGGAAUCUUGCGCAAUGGGGGAAACCCUGACCAGCUACGCCGCGUGAGUGAUGAAGGCUUUCGGGUCGUAAAGCUCUGUCGGUGGAAAGAAAGGUCCUGUGAUAAUACCACCAGGGAUUGACGGUACCCCAAAGGAAGCGCCGGCUAACUCCGUGCCAGCAGCCG